UUCUGGUCUGGUGUCCUUCAUUUGACUUUGUUUGACUGGAGAAGUGGAUAUUCCUAAUGGAAAGUCAAGCUUAACCGGUGGUCAAGUGGCAGGCCUAGUCAUAGGCACCUUGCUGCUGGUCGCAUUGAUUGGAGGCAUUGUGUUCACUCUGGUAAAGAAACAGUCUCCUGGAUCUGGGAAACAUAUUUCUAUGACAGAGAUGAAUGCUUAAUGACUCCAACUGGAGCGCUGGAACAGUGGGAAGACUUUCUACAAGCCUUAGCAAGUGGAAAAAGCUGACGGCCAGUUCCAGUCAUUGUUAGCAUUCCUGUAGUGUUACACCACGCAUACACAUGCAUGCAUAUGUCAACACACCUAUACACAAUUAUUAUGCAUGACUGUAAGAGGUAAUAAUCAGUACGCAUUUCACACGAUGUCACCUGAUGCCUUGAUUUCAUUUCGUGUUGGUACUUCUCUGUACUUUGAUGCUACUUGCAUGAAGCUAAUCUUGGCCUAAGGAUAUAUUGGUAGGAAAUAUUGAUAAGGAAACUUAGCAUUGAUUGAAUUGAAGCAUGCACGAGUCUGUUAAUUAGUAAUCGCCAAUCUGUACUUUCGUUGAUUAAUGUCGCUGCACUCAGCUAGAACGCAGUUGGUUGUCCAUUGAUCGGAGAGAGCAUUCUUACAGCACAUAGUGCCUAUCGUAGAUGUAAUUCCCCUGAAAUCCGUGAAGAAGUAUAUGCUCUGUGCGCUGUUACAUUUUGCCUCCGAGUACGUUAGUUUGUCAUUAGGAGUCUUACUUUUGUUGAUACAAUAAUAUCGUUGCACUCAGCAAGAAUAAUUGAUUUUCAUCCAUAUUGGAGUGAGCAUUCUUACAACACGUGGUGCCUAUCGUAGAUUCAAUUCCACUGGUAUCUGUGAAUAAGUAUAAUUCUCAAUGCACUAUUACAUUUCGCCUCCAAGUCUGUUGCUAGUAGUUUGCUAUAAAAAAAUCGG